rnacentral:rRNA from 1 species
CUCAGAACGAACGCUGGCGGCGUGGAUAAGACAUGCAAGUCGAGCGACUAUUCCGGGGUAGCAAUAUUCCGGAGUGGGAGCGGCGCAAGGGUGCGUAACACGUGGGCAAUCUGCCGCGAAGUCUGGGACAACUCGCUGAAAGGCGAGCUAAUACCGGAUGUGGCUGUUGGGAGGCAUCUUCUGACAGCUAAAGUUGGGGACCGCAAGGCCUGACGCUUCACGAUGAACCCGCGGCCUAUCAGCUAGUUGGUGAGGUAACGGCCCACCAAGGCUAAGACGGGUAGCUGGUCUGAGAGGACGACCAGCCACACUGGAACUGAGACACGGUCCAGACACCUACGGGUGGCAGCAGUCGAGAAUUUUUCACAAUGGGGGAAACCCUGAUGGAGCGACGCCGCGUGGGGGAUGAAUGGCUUCGGCCCGUAAACCCCUGUCAUUCGCGAUCAACCGUUGUUAUUUAAAAGAUGACAGCCUGAUAGUAGCGGAAGAGGAAGGGACGGCUAACUCUGUGCCAGCAGCCGCGGUAAUACAGAGGUCCCGAGCGUUGUUCGGAUUCACUGGGCGUAAAGGGUGCGUAGGUGGUGAGGUAAGUCGGAUGUGAAAUCUCGGAGCUCAACUCCGAAACUGCAUUGGAAACUACCUUGCUGGAGGAUUGGAGGGGGGACUGGAAUUCUCGGUGUAGCAGUGAAAUGCGUAGAUAUCGAGAGGAACACCAGUGGCGAAGGCGAGUCCCUGGACAAAUCCUGACACUGAGGCACGAAAGCUAGGGGAGCAAACAGGAUUAGAUACCCUGGUAGUCCUAGCCGUAAACGGUGCGUGCUUGCUGUAAAAGGAAUCGACCCCUUUUGUAGCGGAGCCAACGCGUUAAGCACGCC